rnacentral:rRNA from 1 species
GAGUUUGAUCAUGGCUCAGGAUGAACGCUGGCGGCGUGCUUAACACAUGCAAGUCGAACGAACCUUCGGGUUAGUGGCGGACGGGUGAGUAACGCGUGAGAAUCUGCCCUCAGGAGGGGGAUAACGGCUGGAAACGGCCGCUAAUACCCCAUAUGCCGCGAGGUGAGAUGAAUUUCGCCUGAGGAUGAGCUCGCGUCUGAUUAGCUAGUUGGUGUAGGUAAUGGCUCACCAAAGCAUCGAUCAGUAGCUGGUCUGAGAGGAUGAUCAGCCACACUGGGACUGAGGCACGGCCCAGACUCCUACGGGAGGCAGCAGUGGGGAAUUUUCCGCAAUGGGCGCAAGCCUGACGGAGCAACGCCGCGUGAGGGAUGAAGGCCUCUGGGCUGUAAACCUCUUUUAUCAAGGAAGAAGAUCUGACGGUACUUGAUGAAUAAGCCACGGCUAAUUCCGUGCCAGCAGCCGCGGUAAUACGGGAGUGGCAAGCGUUAUCCGGAAUUAUUGGGCGUAAAGCGUCCGCAGGCGGCCCUUCAAGUCUGCUGUUAAAACGUGGAGCUUAACUCCAUCAUGGCAGUGGAAACUGUUGGGCUUGAGUGUGGUAGGGGCAGAGGGAAUUCCCGGUGUAGCGGUGAAAUGCGUAGAUAUCGGGAAGAACACCAGUGGCGAAGGCGCUCUGCUGGGCCAUCACUGACGCUCAUGGACGAAAGCCAGGGGAGCGAAAGGGAUUAGAUACCCCUGUAGUCCUGGCCGUAAACGAUGAGCACUAGGUGUCGGGGGAAUCGACCCCUUCGGUGUCGUAGCCAACGCGUUAAGUGUUCCGCCUGGGGAGUACGCACGCAAGUGUGAAACUCAAAGGAAUUGACGGGGGCCCGCACAAGCGGUGGAGUAUGUGGUUUAAUUCGAUGCAACGCGAAGAACCUUACCAGGGUUUGACAUCCUGCGAAUCUCUUGGAAACGAGAGAGUGCCUUCGGGAGCGCAGUGACAGGUGGUGCAUGGCUGUCGUCAGCUCGUGUCGUGAGAUGUUGGGUUAAGUCCCGCAACGAGCGCAACCCACGUCUUUAGUUGCCAGCAUUUAGUUGGGCACUCUAGAGAGACCGCCGGUGAUAAACCGGAGGAAGGUGUGGAUGACGUCAAGUCAUCAUGCCCCUUACAUCCUGGGCUACACACGUACUACAAUGCUACGGACAAAGGGCAGCAAGUUCGCGAGGACAAGCAAAUCCCAUAAACCGUGGCUCAGUUCAGAUCGUAGGCUGCAACUCGCCUACGUGAAGUAGGAAUCGCUAGUAAUCGCAGGUCAGCAUACUGCGGUGAAUACGUCCCCGGGCCUUGUACACACCGCCCGUCACACCAUGGAAGUUGGCCACGCCCGAAGCCGUUACUCCAACCCUUGUGGAGGAGGACGUCGAAGGUGGGGCUGAUGACUGGGGUGAAGUCGUAACAAGGUAACC